CACGUAGGGGCGAGCGUUGUCCGGAAUUACUGGGCGUAAAGGGCGCGCGGGCUGUUAUGCGAGUCUGCUGUGAAAUGUACCGGCUCAACCGGUGCCUUGCGGCGGAUACUGCAUAGCUGGAGUACUGGAGAGGGAAGUGGAAUUCCCGGUGUAGUGGUGAAAUGCGUAGAGAUCGGGAGGAACACCCGUGGCGAAGGCGGCCAGCUGGGAUACACCUGACACUGAGGCGCGAAGGCGUGGGGAGCGAACGGGAUUAGAUACCCCUGUAGU
rnacentral:rRNA from 1 species